rnacentral:misc_RNA from 1 species
GAAGUGAUCAUUGAUAAGGGAGUCAAGCAAGGUUCUGCAAGCAAGGAGGAAGAUAGGAGGUGAAGUUGUUGAUGGUGUCUUUGAGAUUGAGGGAUUGGUACUGGCAGUAGAGGCUGAGAAGAACAUAUAAGUUAUCAAACCUGUCCAGUAUUAUCUUACUCAAUCAAGCACACCCUCCUAAAUAUGGCGGCCACUCUGAAGCCCUAUCUGACUGCAGUGAGGCACACUCUGACUGCCGCAAUGUGCCUAGAGGAUUUCUCCUCACAGGUCGUGGAGAGGCACAACAAGCCAGAGGUCGAGGUCAGGACGAGCAAGGAGCUGCUGCUCACGCCCGUUACCAUCUCCCGGAACGAAAAGGAGCGCGUCCUCAUCGAGUCAUCCAUCAACUCGAUCCGCGUCAGCAUCGCCAUCAAGCAGGCGGACGAGAUCGAGAAGAUCCUCAGCCACAAGUUCAUGCGCUUCAUGAUGAUGCGCGCCGAAAACUUUGUCAUCCUGCGGCGCAAGCCGGUGCAGGGCUACGACAUCAGCUUCCUCAUCACCAACCACCACACGGAGGCCAUGUACAAGCACAAGCUGGUCGACUUCCUAAUCACCUUCAUGGAGGAGAUUGACCGCGAGAUCAGCGAGAUGAAGCUGGCCGUCAACGCGCGCGCCAGAAUAUGCGCCGAGGAGUUCCUCAAGAGGUUUUAGCGGCGCUGCGGACGGCCCCGUUCUGUGGAGUUUCUGAGAGCUGCCGUGCCGAGCUCGGUACCGCGUAUGCGCUGGCGUGGCGGGCGUCUCUUCCGACACCCACCCCGCCGUACAAUAAGGGAGAACCCCUCCGCUACAACGCAGCGGGAGAGAGAAGGAAGCGGCUCGACCCGGUGCCGGGCAGUGUGAUUACUGGAGAGAUGCCGGACUACGCCGGGCGAUCGGCGGUCCUGCAGAACCACCGGUCGGCGCCUAGGGUGUGAGUGGCCAUGAUCCAAAGGGAGAUGAUACGUGAUUCCAGGAAUUAUUUUAUACCGUGCUUACUACCACGCAAGUACCGAUCAAACCAUACCGUUAAUCCGAAUCGCCCGUAGUGGGUGGCUCAUGCUUGCCGGUAGUGCCGCCACGACAGUUGCUCGCUUUCCGUUUAGCCCGUUCGCUCGCUUUCAUCGAUUCGCUUGGCUUAUGUGACGGUCGUGUGUAGAUGACGAUCGUGAUCGGACGGUGACGUAUAUCGUGUAUUUUCUGUCACUUUAUAAUAUACAUGUUGAAAUAUUA